UACGUAGGGGCGAGGCGUUGUCCGGAUUUAUUGGGCGUAAAGCGCUCGUAGGCGGUUUGGUAAGUCGGGUGUGAAACCUCCAGGCUCAACCUGGUGACGCCACCCGAUACUGCUAUGACUUGAGUUCGGUAGGGGAGCGGGGAAUUCCUGGUGUAGCGGUGAAAUGCGCAGAUAUCAGGAGGAACACCGGUGGCGAAGGCGCCGCUCUGGGCCGAAACUGACGCUGAGGAGCGAAAGCGUGGGGAGCGAACAGG
rnacentral:rRNA from 1 species